CAAGAAAGCAUCCAAGUGUGUUGUGAAUAUAUCCAGAGAAGGGUACUCCACAAUCUCUCUGGGCAGCCUGUUCCAGUGCUCUAUCACCCUCAUAGUAAUGAAAUUUUUCCUCACAUUCUGAUGGAACUUCCUGUGUUCCCAUUUGUGCUCACUGCCCUUUUUCCUAUCACUGGGCACCACCAAAAAGAGUCUGGCCUGAUCCACCUGCCCUUUAGAGUAUAUGUAACUGUUGAUAAGAUUCCUUUCCCAGUCCUUUAUUCUCCAGGCCAAACAGCCCCAGUAUGGGAGAUGCUCCAGGCACUUAAUCAUCUCUGUGGCCCUCCGCUGAACUCUCCUCAGUAGUUCUCUGUCUUUCUUGAACUGAAGAACCGAGAACUGGAAACAAUACAAUUAUCUCUGAAAUUCUGUUCAUGAAAAUCAUUAAGCUAAGUCGUUAUGAAAGCAAUGAUCAUCCUCCAAAAAUGGGUCAUUCUUGAUCAGUAAAUGAAUAGAGCCCCAAAAGAACAUUUUUGUUCUUCUUCUACAACUGUACUUUUUUAGAGAUGUGUCCAGAGUGUGUUGGUAUUGGGUGUGUGCAUGUUGUGCAAGAAUUAAGCGAUGAUGUUCAAUUACAAAUGCAACAUCGACAAACUCUAGAACAUAAACUUGCUCAGACUGCUAGGCUCAACAUGAGUAUUGAUAAUAAGAAUAAAAAUAUCCUGUAGGAAAACAGUAGAAUUGCACUGUAGACUUAAAUUUCUGGAAAUGUAGCAGAUAGCCUGAACGGUUUUGAGACAGGCUUGUAUGUGUUCCAUGGGCCAGUGAGAAAGAGUGCUAUCAGAAGUUGGCUUUAUUUUUAUUUCUGGUUCAGAGCCCCUCGGAGUAGUUUUCAGGUCAUCUAAUUUCAGGAAGAAGAGGGAAGGUAUGAAAUGCAGUCAGAGAACUCUGAAUAUUACAUGGAAAGAGGGUGCUGAAAAUCUGUUAAAAGCGGGGACUGGGAACCAGGCCAAAAUUUUUUUGGAGAUUAUUGCAGGAUGAGAACAAGCCCUGAUAAAGUAACAAAAGGCUGGCCAGUCAGUCAAGCUCAGGUGGAAAGUGUAGAAAGCAGAUUAUCUUCUCACAUUCUGGAGAUGUAAGUGCCAGAAGAGUGUUCAGCGCAUUGGUCCAUAGGAUGACAAGAGCAGUUAGUGUAGGAAAGAUGACAGGAUCCCAAGUGAAGCAAGACUUUGAGAUCUGUCUGUACCCUUGUUUAAAGCAAACAUACCAAAAAGAAAAAAGGAGAAAAAAAAAUUCAAAAAAUAACCUUCACGACAAUUAUGAAAAUUUCAAGUUAAACAUAAAUAUAUCAUAGAAUCAUAGAAUCAUCAAAGUUGGAAAAAACCUCCAAGAUCAUCCAGUCCAACUGUCCACCUACCACCAGUAUUUCCCCACUGAACCAUGUCCCUUACUACCACAUCUAAAUAUUGAGAUAUUUGAUGCCUGAUGAAGCACUGUUCCAGGUUGAUGGCAAAAAUGCACUGAUGUAAAGAGUGAGAAACCACACACUUCAGCUGUAUACAAAAAAUAGAAGCCUGCCUGAACUCCAACAGAGCAUGAACAGUACUUGCUGGAUCUCCUGUGAAGGAUAAGAUCUAGUAAAGUGGACUGAAUUUGUCAGAGUAGCAUGGUCAUUAGAGGACAAUAUUAGUCCUUAGCAAUCCUAGAUGGAAUCUUUGCUAUUCUAAGAAAAGUAAGUUUAAAUUGACAUUUAAGAGUCAUUUCAAGGAUUGGGAUAUAUAAUAGAUGAUUGAUAUUAGCCCCAAAUAAACAACAAACAUCAAGUAAAUAGUUAAGGCAUUUGCAUGUGCCAAAGAUUGUAAGAAGUCUCGAAGGAGACCAUGUCAGUAACAUAGAAAAAAUCAGCUCCCUGGAAUAAGUACAAAUAAGUUUAGGCUAGGGACAAAAACAGAUAUUUGCCUUAAUCUCAGAUGGUAAGAGUAAUUUGUGAAUUAUUUAAUCAAGUCCAAUUUUGCUACAUGAGAUAUAUUCUAAAUGAGUGCCUGGCAACUGGCAAUAGUUUAGUGAAAACCUGAGGAGUUUUUGUGUUUUUUUUCUAUGGAGUGAUUAUGGAGUCACUGAGAUCACAUUCCUUGGGAUCCUCAGGGACUCCAGCAAGGGAGACAGAUCAGGAGAAAACACAAGAAGCUGAGUCCAGGAGCUUCUUUUAAUUAACAUUGCAGUCCAGCAGGAAGCAGUGGUGAGGAGUAGCUGUGCUGUAUCUUGAACAAUAUACUUUCUUCUCCGUUCUAAUUUUUGUUAUUCACAAAGUGUAUUGCUUUGUCUUCUAACCUCCUCUCAUUGCUUCAUGUCUUUUAGCGCUCUCAGUUCCCUGUCCCCUUCCCUGGGGUUACCCUUCUCCCAUGUGGCCUCAAUCCCACCUCCCUUCUCCCUCCUUUCCCAUACUAUCUUCAGUUCAGGUAUUGGUCAUUGCCCCAAAGCCUUCAGCUUUGAAUUAUGGUAGUAGCUCAGCAUUCCUGGGCUUUGCCAUGGUGACUUUUUAACCCCACAAACUCCUUUCAAAUAGGACAGAGAAGGGGGAUAUACUAUUUAGGCCAUUGUUCUUCUUUUCUUUCUGGGAAGAAAAAUUGUGCAUUUACCCAUAAUGGUGUGUAAAGUUCUUGGAUAGAGUGCAAAAUCAAACAGCUUAAUGAUUUCUUUGGCUAAAUAAGUCUUGGAUCAUUUUUCUGGAUAUGACCAGUUGAUUCAUUGCACAUCCCUCUGUCCAAAUGGAAAAGAGCUCAUUCUCUGGACAGAUUUGCAGCUGAUUUAAAUUGUCAGAGUGCUGUUUUAUUCAACUGAGUUUUGAACAGGGUCUAGCUAUAUAUCUAGAACAUAAUAUCUCUAUAUCCUGUUUCCUGCUAUCAACACAUAUCUGUGUAAAUGUAAACAUUUAAUCACAUAUUUUCCAAUUAGCAGACUUAGUAUGAUUAAGAAGGUCAUCGUUAAUUUUGUUGUUUUUAUUCUGGUUAUUUUGAUAGUUCCUUAUCAAAAGAGUAUAACAUUUUAAAAAAUUAAUUUAAAUCUUAUUUAGGAAUAAUAUUUAAAGCUCAUAUACUUAAUUAAUACAAAGCCCUAUAGAAAUUCAGUUCUCAGAAUUUUGUAACAAGCGGUCUCUGAAACUAGGGCGGAAAAAAAAAAAGGAAUGUAAUUUUAUCAUGUUGAAAUAAACUCAAUGCUCAAACAAUUUGCUUAGCCAAAAUCUAGAUAAUGUGUUACAUGGGGCUGCAGGAGAGGGUGGUGCCAUUAGUGUAACUGCUUGCUGGAACAUCCAAACUUCAAAGUAUCGUGCAGUUUCCUCUUCCUUCUCAGGGAGGUGCUGGUGCCUCAGAGAAGUACUGGACAAAAUUACACUGUAUAUUGUCAAGAGGUCAUUCUAUCCCUGUAAUUUAUGCGUGAUACCUUUCAUUCCUUUUAAAUACACAGCAACCCUUACUGUUCCAUCAGAAUAGGAUCUGCUUUUCGUAACAGAGGUUUAUGCAUUUCCAAUGCUUCUUUUCUAUUUCAGUCCACAGUAGCUCCUUCACAGCUUCAAAAUCAGUAGUUGAUUUAAUGGUAAGAUGCCAGUUGCUGAGGAAGAAGGGGGUCACUAGGCUUAGGCAACCUUUUAAAUGACAGAGACAGUUCUCAGUAUGUAUGUUCUCAAUAUGUAUUUUUAGAGCUUGUGAUUAGCUGCAGAUAAUUUUGUAUAUCCAAGAGGAUGGGUUCUAAACUGUAGCAAGUGAAAACUAAAAUCCUUGGAACAGCAUCUCCUUGUACUUGUUGCUACAGAUGAUUAUAGGCUGUCUUGCAUCUUCAGUGAAAUUUGAGCAUGUUUCAUGGCCAUAGAAGCUAGACAGGGAGAAUAAAGAAUAGAAAAUCCUGUUUUACUGACCGCAGCUCAGUUUUUUGUUUUGCUGCAGAAUGGUCCACACAAAAUAAAAGCAGUGUUUAUCUUUUCAGAUGCAAAACAUUAUCGUUAUUUUGCCAUGAGAGUCAAUAUGCCCUGGAGAGAAAUGAAGCAAAAGCUGUCAGCCUGCCUUCUUUCCCAUUUACCAUGGGAAAGCCAUUGUUAACAAUCUGGUUUUUCUGCUUUCCAAUCAGGGAAUGAAAGCAUAUACCCUCACAUUCAUCUCUGGUGAACAUAACACAGCUAAGGUCCCCUUUAUAACCAUGCCUGACCUAUAAGAAAAGCCACAGAAUAGACACACAGAUUUUGUUGUACAUGUCACUACCUUGCUUAAGGGUCAUUACACAUGCUGGCACCAGCUUCUUGGCUUUCUAGUCUCGGAGAGCUGUGGUGGCCAUCUGUAAGAUCUGAAAUUUGCAGCUGGAUUCAAUCAGAUACUAUUGGAAUGAAUCUUGGAAAGAAAGUGGCUAAUGCCAAGCUGUCUGUCACUGUCAAUUUAGCUCAGCUUUAAACUUACAGAUAUAAAUUUCCAUGAACUGUUGGGAAACAAUAAUAAAAUCAAACAUCUUAUUAAGCAAUGCAUGUUUCAUCCUAAUGAAUGUAUCGCAUAUGAGAUUAAGGAUGAAGCAUAAUUAGUUACAUGCCUGACAGCACAGAGAUUGCCUGGGCCACACUGGCCUGUCCUUCCACUGUAACUCUUAGAAGUGUUUGCUUUUACAUAAAAAGGGCGAGGUCAUCAGGAGCUUGUCCAAACAAAAUUGGCCAAAUAAAUUGAAUUAUAACAGUGGUGUCAUGCAGAUAGCAACUCACUGUAAACUGCCCUUAUGUAAGGCCAUUAGACAUGAGAAAGUUUCUAAUUAGUUCUGCAAGGCAGAUAGGGGAAGUGUAGUCAUAAUCAAAUGCCUUCAGACAAUUCAGGCUUAAAUCACUUCUUGUCUUUCUGGAAAAAAAGAUGAGAUAUAGAUAAUAAGUUUUAUAAGUAAUCUUGCUCAAGACCAAUGAAAUAGGAAGCUGUUAAAUAUUUGCAAGAAUGUAGCCAAUCCUAAAUCAUUCAAUACUAAUGACGCUUUUAUCUAUUGACUUCAUAGCCUUACAUUUAGACAUAACAAGGUUUUGUGGCUUCCUGAUGUCUUUCUUAUGGUUAAAGCAGAAAGAAUCAAUUCUAAUUUAAAACUAUAAUGUAGUAAAUGUCAUCAAAACAAAAAAAAAUGAAUAGGAUGGAUUUGCUUAAUAUAAAAACUGGUGUACCUUUUAAGUUGCAAACCCUACUUCAAAUAGAGGAAAAAACUGAAGAUUAACACACAUUUACUUUUAAUGGGUGCUUAUAUAAAAUAGCAUAGUUUUUAAGAGCUCUUACUAUCAAAACUGAAUUAGCAUGCUUCAACUAUAGUGAUGUUGCAUAUAAUUCAGAAAUGUAUCAUUAUAUUUAUUUUUCCCAUUACUGAAGCAUCCUAUACUCAUUUUGUAACCGUCACAAAACACUUCCUUUGUUAAUGUUGCAAUUUCAAACAAAGCCAAAAGUCAAAAAAAAAAAAAAAUGUUGCUGUUCUAGGAGCAACUUCAGCUUGUACUGCCCUCUGCCUUGUUGUUCAUCUUGUUUCAAAAUGUGCAGGUUGAGGUACAGUUCUGACUUUUUCUGUUGUUUCAUUUUAUAGCAAAGUUCAAAUGAAAAAGGAUUUUAAAACCAUUUUGAUAUAUAUAUGUGAUCACUCCUUAAGUAUGUUGUCAGUGGAAAUUGUUUCUAACAGAAACCAAACCUGGCAUUAGCAACAGUAAAAUUUGCAGUACAGGCUCUGAGUCUGACAAAUGCAACAAAGAAAUGUUUUGUUAUUCUCCAGGUUCCUUAUGACAGCCUUCAUAUCUCUGGAGCUCUGGUUUUAACAAGCAGUCGGACGACCCUUCCCAACACACCUGUGACAUGUGCAAGGUCUGAUCUUCAGUUUAAUGAAGGAGUUUACUGGGGCUUUAAUAUAUUCUGUUAGCUCAUGCAAAAGGUCAGUAGAUCACAGAUAUCAGGUGUAGAUGACACAUAAAAGUAGCUUUAAUAUCUCAAAGCUGAUGGAAGAAGGUAGUUGGGUUGUCUGCACAUUUGCCCCAACAGCACAGUUUUAAAUAAGCCUGCCUGGUUUGUAAAUAAUGGAAAGCACUCAUUACUCAAGAUACCAUCAGCUGCACCAUGCAGUGAAAGCUGGUGAAGAAAAGACAUACAUAGCUCUGAUUAGCAUUUCUUCUCCACACAUGACAAAAUGAAGCCUCACCAGGCACAGAGCUGGCCUUUCUGUUUGUAGUCCAGGGGUGAACAUUUAGGUACUGCUUGUGUUAAAUUAACGCUAGCAGGAAAGACAGUUAUCUUGUGUAGCUGUACUUAUGCAUUUAAAACCAUGCAUCAACUAAAACAAAAAUACACUUCUCUUGUGGAUCAGGGAAGAUUUUUGUUUGGAUCUCAGUAUCAACACUUAGGAUGGCAUUUCUCAGCAGUUACUACAUAACUGAGAUAAAUAUCAUGUAAAAUGAGUUUGUUGAAGGCUGAGACAUAUGAGCACAUUUUAUUUGUUUCUGUUGUAAGACUUUUCAGGAGCAACAUCACCACAAAUGAGCAUGGCACAUAUCUUCUGUCCAUCUUUCCUGGGGUCUCCUUACUGAUGACAGAGCAGAAGUAACAGAAUGAGAACAGAGGAAACUUCAGCAGCUUGCUGUCAUGAUAAUAUUGACUGGGUGACUGUCUGAGAGUACUGAAAACUAAGAACUUAGAGAAGUCUUGGAAAGACUUGGAAAAGACAGUAUUUGUGUUACUAUAGCAUUCUGUGCCAUAACAUUUGUACUGGAAACCCCUGUAGUAUGUCUGGAUUUUGAACUAAGGUCUUCCAUGCUUUGGCAGAAAGAUAUGCCUUGUGGCCAUAAAGCUAGCGCAGUUUAUUUUCUAGGCUACAUGGCACUAUGAGUGUGUGAUGGAGCUGGAAUCCUGUCACACAGAUGAAGGAUGAAAGCAGUGCAGCUGAGGAGUGACUCCAGGAAAGACAGGCUAAGGAUCAAGCUGGAGGAGAGAAAAGUCUGCAGGCAUCCUGAGGCAGGAUGCAGACAGAGAAUCUUCUAUUUCAAAGCACUGGAAGACAUGAAAGAGACAGAGAGCAGAAUGUGGACUCUCAGAUGGUCCCAACAGGUGCAAUGAAGUUUGCAUGGGUGAGGAGCAGCAGCAACUUGCCAUAUUUGUUGGUGUCCAAGAAGAUUACCAUGGACCAACCCAUAGCUGCCUCAUUGUAUGACUGAACUGAUCUUGGAUCUGGGAAUUUGGUUCCCCAAGAUGAGAUAUUCACCUGGAAGACCUGGAAGACCAGUUUCGUCAUCCUGAGCUUCUAUAUUUAACUCAGCCAACAUAACUUCAUGCAGAUCCAUCAAAAAAGGGCUUUGGGAAUAGCCAAAAUAUGCAAACAAGAGGAAAAUGAAACAGACCAAAACACUCAGUUUUCUUCGCCGGAUGGGCAGAAAGGAUGUUCAUCCUCAUCGCUAUACCUUUACCUCUCUCCAUGGAAGGGCUGGGAAAACCGCAAAGGCAACAAGGCAAGUGCUACACAGUCACCAUAAAAUGCUCUAUCAAAUGGCAUGCUGCUGAUAUGAAGAACACACAAUUCAUCAAAAGGACAGUUUUAUUUUUCACAAAGUAAUAAUUUGCUCUUUGUUGCACCAUAUCAAAGUAUAGCAUUUCUCACUGAUGCUAUUUUAUUUUACUGUGUAUCAUUAAAGUAGUCCCAAACCAAUAACUAUCUACUGUAGUUUUAUAUGGAAUGCUCCCAGGGCCUUUGAAGUUUCUUCUGUGCUUGGAAAGCAAAUGCUGCUAAUCCCACCAUCCUGUCCUCCGCAGCAGGAUAAAGCCUGGCCUUUGAGGUGAGGUAGGAUUUGUUUAUAGCUCCUGGAUUGUUCAGCAUCCCCAAAGAGCUUGAGGGGUACCAGCCUACAAGAAGUUCAUGACAAAAGUAACACAGAACAGGGGCAAUUUUGUACAGUCUCAGCGUAUGAUGGUGCAUUCUUUUUUCCCUGGUGUAGCCAAAGCAUUUUUAUCUUUAGUAUUGCCUGCAAAGGUGAAGGGACCAUCUUCCCUGAAAAAGAGUGGCUGUCGUUUUGUUUGUUUGUGAGCAACAAGAUGGGAAGUCCGAUCUAAGAAUGGUUGGGAGUGUAGUGUCCUGUCCGUGCACAGAGAGCACAUGUCAGGAGUGACUGGAAAUUCAGGUUCAUAUGGGAAAUGUAUAUGUUUCUGUUAUUGGAGAUAAAACAGAAUUUCAGGAAGCAAAGGAAGAGACAAAGAGGCAGUGAAAUCAAAUACUUUCCAAUGCUGGCAUGCUUGGGGGCAUUUUGCAAUUUGAUCCAUUUCUGAAGAAAUUUUUGCAGAAAUCCCUGUCCUGAUCAGCAGUAUGGUAUCUGCCCCAGCACCUGUAAGUGUAAUGCAAAAUCCAUCACAGAAGAGCACUCCUUUGCAACCUGUAGCAUCAAGUCUGAGCUUUCAGCCUGUUCGUCUCAGAAGCCAUUAUCCCAAAAUAGGCACCUCAGUACACCUCAUUCAACUUCCAAACUUAAUAUUUGGGAGGAAACUGCUUGGUUCAUUCUCUUAAGACAGGAAAAACAUAUUUCCUAACGUUGUUCAGUCUGCCCUGAAAAUAUCCCCAGAAAAGUUGCAUUGUUACAUUUCCUCCUGGACUUCAUGCCAUAGCCAGGCACUUGUAAUGCUGACUCUCUCAGAAGGAAAUGCCAUAGGAAGGGAACAGGUGCAAGACCAGCUGCGCAGUAGGGUUUUGCUUUUACUUCCUUGAAUGAUCCCCACAACGGUGCCACGGGAAAACAAUAACAGUCCAAAAAACUACGUGAUAUUUGAAUUGGAUUAUCAGCAAAUCUAUUAGGCAAAAUCAUUAAUAUUUUAACAAAGUAAUGAAAUGUUCCAUUUGCUUGGUUGUUUCUAUUCAAAGGUAUCUGUGUAAUGUUCCAUUCCUUUGCAUUCUAGUCUAUUCAUGUCACUGACUGAUAGUUUUUAAGCUUCUUGAUAAUUUGUUUACUCUAUGGUAUUUCCUCUUAAUGUGGAAGAGAAAAUAGAAAACUGAUAAGGGAGUUCUUCAAGUAAUCUGUGAUUUAUACUAUGUCCUUUCUUGAUUAUUACUCUGUACAUAACCAUUGUUGCAGCAGGAAAAAAGAAAUACUCUUGCCAGUAAUGAAUUUCAUAGUUAUGUAUAGUUAAACGGAAUCGAGGAUGUCCUUCCUCUAGGAUAUCAUUCAGUCUCUGCACUCCAUGCUAUAAUCUCUUUAGAUCUGUCAACUUAUGGCAAGAGGCAACACCUGGAAAGGAGAUUUAGAGAGAAAACUGCAACAGAAAUAGCAUUGGCAGUUCAAAAUACAUCGAUCACCCUUCCAAGUUAGUGCUAAAACAUUACAUUAAGGGAAACAGUGCUGUUAGAGUGGCUGAGAAUAUCAUCUCUUCCAGAAUCUUUAUGCCAAGUAAAAGGUUGAAGAUUCAUAAGGUAUUCUCAAAGCCUGCUUCCUGUUGAAAGAAAAUUGCCUUGGCAGAGGAUCUCUCUGACAGCUGCAGAAUGCUCUCUGGAGAGCCCCUUCCAGGCUCCAGCACACCAGCUGAGGAUGGAGCCAAGGAUAAAGGCUGGAAGAACAUGCUAGCAACACAGCAUUAGCAUUUUCCCAGUGCAGAUGUUUGUAGUGGCAUGAUGAUCCACCAGCACAGGCUGACACAUGGCCCAAGCUUUGAAACGCUAGGAGUUAUACUGCAGUUGUGAAACAGAUGUAAUCAGGUGGAUGUGAGAACAUUUUAAUAUUAACUUUAGCUACUGCUUUUAUUCUUUUUCUCUUCCAACACUUUGAAUCCAUGGGCUCUGUGCUGUGCAUUCAUGGCCACUCUAUGUAAGAGAAAGCUAGGCAGAGACCUGCAAGAUGAUGAACAGAAAUGGUCAACAUGCAUGGUUGUAAUGCUGCUCGCAUGGCCAGUUUUGGCAUCAUGCUUUUUAAAAGAAGCCAUGUUUGGGAAUUAGCACAAGUACUUCUGUGUUCACUCUGUGUUGCACAGUUGAUACUAGCUGUUUUUGGCUGCUGUUAAUUUAAAGUUCUAUGAGUUCUCUCAGUACGGAUCUAAUUUUCAGCGACUAUUCCCUAUUUCUAUGUGUAAUGUACUAUGCCUAACAUAUCUCACAUCACAAUUCUUGUGCUGUCUGGCUUCAGAUAAUGAAUUACACUUCAGAACCAGUGCAUCAUGACCCUGAAAACUGCCACCAAUCCACAGCAGAUUAGAACAGGCUACUGUAGACUUCUGAUCUCUGUAACACUAUCACAGUGUUUCCAGGAAGAAAUGUAAAAAUGGAUUAUAAAAGAUGCUGGUAGCAUGUAAGCUUAGCACACUCUCCAUCAUAAAUCUGGUCACAUCUGUGGACCAACCUGAAAAAUGUCAGCUUCUUUUAUGCAGGUAUAUGGAGGUCAUGGUCCUUCACUGCAGCAGUGUAAGUAUAAACAAAAUUACUUAGCUGCUGAGAGAACAUAGAAUAAACAUCCCAUGUACCUCUUUCUGGAGCAUGGCAGAGUAAAAGGAAAUAGGAGAAGGUGAAGAAAGAAACCCUUGUGGAAGAACAGAUCAUUCCAAGAAAAAGAAAUCUGCAAGAUAGCUCACAAAUUAGUAUAUAUUUUUGUGUUACUGCAGGAGUUAAGCUGCAACCCACUGAAGUUAGUGUAAGGCUCCCAUUUGUUUCUCUUUAAUCAGAGAUUUCCAAAAGGAAGCACAGUGAUUCUUGUAAUACAUCCUCUCACCACCAAAGUAUUAGUCAUUAUAGGGUUUUGCUCAGUGUGACUUCGAGAGCACUAUGUGAUGUGGUUGCUUCCCUCUGGCUGCAGUGAGGCAGGUAAUGGAGGUUGAGGUACAGGGGUAGGAGGAUUCACAGAAUCACUGGUGCAGUAAAUUGUAAAUUAGGCUUAGAUUAAAUUGCGCUGAAAUGAGUUGUCUGCUUUCCAGAAAAGAUUAUAGAAUUACUAGUUGAAGAAUCAUAAAAUAGGUGAGCUAAUUAUAUGCUCACUUAACUCUUUUCUAAGCAUGAUACAUCAAAAUGAAUUUUGUAUGCUUAUUACAGACAUAGUGUGGCCCUUUGGUUUACAUUACAGGUGAAAUUAUUUUGCAAACAAUUUGAAAUUGUACCUUUUAAAUUCUACUCUCAGUCUAAAUUGUCUGGAUUAUUAAAAUUAUGAGGACUGAAAGCUGGAUCAAAGACUGCAAACAGGGCAUAUUAAUAAAUGGGGCCAAGGUAACAAGUAUGUGAGGAGGUAAUAGAGGGACUAUCCAGAAACAGAAGCAGUUAGUAUCAUGCCUCCAUUAGCAGCUUCAUACACUGUUAGAAACCAGAAGUAAACAGCAUCUUAACAAUGCAGUCCAAAAACUGCACCACAUACACAGAAUUAUUUGCUCUUAGAAGUGAAGAGCAUGCUUUUUGCAGGAACUGUAAUUCCAUUGAUUGCUUGUUAGUUCCCAGAUUGUUGAUAGAAAGUUUAGAAGCUUGUUAUAUUUGAUCUAAGUCCUUACAUUGAUUUAUUCUUUUCAUUUGUUCAGAUUGUUCACAAUACAGACUACAUUCAUCUAAGUGUCUGAAUUGCAUUACUAAGCAUGAUCGUCUCAUAGUUUGUGGGAAAUAACUAUAUUAUGAGAAGCAGAAAUACAUUAAGUUCUACACUAACUCCAAGAAAACCUUGUUUAAAGAAACUUAGCUUUUCCACUUGACAUUUUUUCCAGCAAUGUGAAAUAGUAUACUGAAAUCCUAGUAAAGUCUUGCCAGAGAGAGAGCCUUUGGAUUUCUGCAGUAACAUGGCCUUUCACUGUGCACGCUGUGUCUAUCUCAUUGACAGAUUGAUUGGAUCACGCACCACAUUUUGUUUGAAACCAACACAGAAAUUAAUGGAAGAGCUGGUAGCCUUUUAAUUUCAAGAGGCUGAAUCUUUGAAAUGUCUCUGGAUCACCAUGUGUGUAUCCAUACAGUGUGUAAACAAAGUUUCUUUUUGCAAAGCUCUGUGAAUACAGCUGUUUCUCAUUUUCAUCUUGCGGAAGCUAUCCUGCUUACAGGGCAGCUUUAGUUAAAGAGCUGUGUUUACUCAUAAGGCCAGGAUGUACAAUAUUCAGUUUUGAUUGAAAAGUGAAAAACUUCUUUAUUGUUUACAGGCAAAACACUUCAUAGUAAAAAAAAACAACAACUGUGUUUUACUCAAAGCAGAAAACUAUAGGUUUAGGACUGUCAAAGAUCCCGUUUUCUGAGAAACAAACAUAGUUGUCUGUAAAAGCCCAAAAAUAUGCUUAUUCAUCUUAUUAUUACGGAAAGUCCUGGUGACUCACUGCAUUGGCAAGGGAAGCUGGUUUAGUUUAGAUAUAUCUGUUUGUAAUUGACUUUGCUGUUAAGAUGGCAACAAAACAGAAACAAGAUGGCAGAUUCCCUGUAUGUGAGGAUACCUUCUGCCUCCUGAUGUUCACCUCCUCUUUGGGCUGGGGAGCAAGGAGCGUUCUGCAGUACAUAAUGAAUCCAAAGGGGAGUGUCUGGUGGUCAGCAGAACAAAACAGACCUCGCUGCAGAGUUCAGAAAAUAGAAAAAGUGACUGGCUUCAGGGCUAGUGCAAAGAGUUCCUGUAUCCAACCACAGCCAAAUGAAGGCUCAGGAGUAUUGAGGCAAAGGAAGCAGAGACAUAGAUGUUAGCAUGUUUUUUAUGGAUUUCUCUGUUUGAAUACACACACAGAUAUUCUCCAAGUAACUAACGGAAGACAAAAUUUAUGGAUCUAUUUUGUGUUUGCAGUCACUCAGUGUGUACUUCUAUAAAUAGCAAUGAAUGAGGUCUGAGAGUAGAUUUGCCCAAGUUCCUGAGGAAUCAGAACUAGGCUGGGUAAUGCAAAGCUAGGGUGGGGGAUGCAAUUUCAGUGAUGUCUGCAACUAGAGAAUCUGUUUCUCUCAGUGUUUUUGUGCUCCAGGAAGGGCAGGAGCUGAAACCUUGUAUGAAGAAAGCACUUGGCUGCUGCUCCUGCUUCUAUGCACAGCAGUCACAUGUUCAGCUCUGCUAAGGUUGUGAAAGAGAACAGCAUUUGUCCUAGGAGGGGCUGUUCCACAACUGCUGCAAAGGAGCUGUGAAUUCCCAUUAAUUUGUGUUAAUAUUAGCCAUGAAGAUCCACUACACUUGAAAGGUUCGUCUGCAAAAUAUUAAUCCCAUAAGUAUCAGUUCUUCUUGUGAAAGAAGAAAUCCAUGGAACUAUUUUGAAGGCAUAGUUACAAAGAACAAUUGUGUUGAAAUACCAUCAGUUUUGGAGGUCACCAUCCAAUCUGAAAAUGUGCCUAUAUUUUCGUUUCUAAAAGGCCACACCAGGAAGCAGGUGAUAUGAGAGGGAAUAUACAUACCAGAGGAAAGGCCUGGAACUAAGUGAUCUUUAAGAUCCACUCCAACCCAAGCCAUUCUGUGAGAGUGAAGCGUCAAUUUAGUAAUGUCUCAUGCAGAUAAGGAAAUGCUGUCCUUCUAGACACACAAUCCGUCUGCAGUAUAAACAUUUCUCUUCGCCUGGGGACUGUAUUUUUCUUUCUUUUAGCAUUAUUGCUUCUGUGGGACCAUAAUUUAUUAAUAAAAGCUUUGUCAUGCUUUUCCAUCAAGAAAUGAUCUUUUCUGAAAAGGAGUUUAUUACAAUGAAUUUAUUUUCCUCUGAAAUAUAAUUAAUCUUCUAAAAGGCCAAAUUCCUUUUUGCAAAAAGCUUGAUUUUUAGUCCAUAUUGUAGUCUCUUGAUGUCAAUGAAAUUAGCAGGUCAGGCAGUCUGGGCAAUUGAUUCCAUUUAUGUUUCCGUUCCAUUCUGUGAGUGAUAUUAUCUAACUACUGGAUAAAAUUAGCUUUUGAAAACCUUAUUGGUGUUUCCAUUUUAUGUUAGUAAAAUUUGAAGACUCUUAAGAAUGUUUAACAAAAUAAAUUAAAAACUACUAUUUAACCAUUAAAAUAACUUCUUGGAUUUAUUGAGUAAAACAAGGAAAGUGUGUGAGGAAAUUGUGAGGAGUAAAAUCUCAUCAAAAUGUUUAUCUGAAAAUAAAGUGGAGCAUUUGCAGGUUAGAUCCUAGCCCACGAAAAUCUGUCCUAAAUACUCUUAUUAUUUGAAAAGAUCAUACAUAUGGUGUUUUUCACAAAGUUACUGGGUGUCAUUGAGGCUGGACUUCCUACUUAUGGCCCUUUUUGUGAGCUUCUCAUUUUUUGAAGUCUUAAAAUUAAGGUCUUGAUGGAAAUGGGUUAGGUAGUCUAUUUUAUCUCCUGAGGGACAUUUAUACAGAGUUUUACAGACAGGAUUUUAUUUUAUAUUUAUUUAAGCUAACUCUGUAUGAAGAAAUUGUAUGAAUUACACUGCCUGCAGUUUGGACAGACCCAGUGUUGAGUAUUAUUCAAAUAAGCAAUAUUCAUCUAUAAAUCCUUUAUCCUUAAGAGUUUAGGCUUCUUUUGAUUAGGUAAGGCUAAAUAUAGGGAUAUCAUACAGUCAGCUCUAGCAGCUACACCAUAGUUACCGAUUCUGAGAUAUCUGAUAUAUCGUGAAAAAUUUGACAUUGCCUAGCCCUUGCCUGGCCAAAAUCCCCAUUUUCUUUUGUGUCAUACCUGUGCAGUAUGGUGUCUGUGGAGCACCUUGCAACCUGUUCUGGGGCUUCCACUCACUCCUGAAAUUGCAUUGCUGGCGUGUUGCAUGAAAUUGAAUGGAAAUUGGAUUUCAUCUUGAACCACAGGGAAAUCUGUCAUGGUAGUGCACCCUUCUCACAGAUCUGUGCUUUGUAAACUUCAGGGAGCCCUGACUGUGCGGGGUGGUGGGAAUGCACUCUGGGGACAACUGAUUAUUUAUUGAAACCCACACUAAAAAGUAUACCCCCCUAUUAUCGAGGGCGCUGACCAGUGGGUGUCACCGUACCAGGGUGCUUCUGCUUGUGAUUGUAAAGAUAAGCAGAAGCAGGACAAGCUGUCUUUUCCAGGGGUGUGGCUUGAAGGAGCUGACCACUGGAAAAGGUGAUAAUGCUUGUGCAUGGCAAUGAAGGCCCCACUCCCUGCUGGCUUAUCUGUUGGGCCAGGUGUGUCACACUAACGGAGAGAAAAGAAGAGAAAGAAAAAAACUGUGAAAUGGGGGAUAAAAGGUCCCCACUAAACUCAGAACUUUGGAGAAGAACUCCCAAAGAAAAGAAACCUCUGAUGGAGGAAUUCCUUAAGAGAAAGAAGCCUGUUAGGAAAGAACCCCCUGGGGCCUACUUGCUGCAAAGCUUCCUGGCUUUCUCCCAUCCCCUGUGGUGACUGGACGAGUUCCUGAGAUCAACGGAGGCACUACGAACAACGAACAACGCUGGACCCACAGUGGUGACUCUCUCUCUCUUGCUUUCUACAAGGACUCUCUGCUUUUUCCUACCCCUUUUGUAUCGCCCGCCUUCCCUUCCCCAUCUCCCUAAACAAGUAGGAUUUGUAAUAAACU